ACACCUUUGCUCGGAGAUACAACACUCCAAGACUUCAACCAAGGAAACACAAGUUCCUUACAACAAGAGAAUCACAAUUCUCUUACAAGUGUACAAAGCACUAAGCACUCAAACAAAACACUCCUUAAUGAGUAGAUAUACGUAAAAGAAGUAGGCUCAAGAUUACAACAACUAUGGACAAGACUUUGGCUCUCAAAAGCUUU
rnacentral:lncRNA from 1 species